CGACGGGUGAGUAACGCGUGGUAACUGCCUCACACAGGGGGAUUAACAGUUGGAAACGACCGCUAAUACCGCAUAAGCCAACAGGGGCGCAUGCUCUGGUUGGAAAAGAUUUAUCGGUGUGAGAUGGACCUGCGUCUGAUUAGCCAGUUGGCAGGGUAACGGCCUACCAAAGCGACGAUCAGUAGCCGGCCUGAGAGGGUGAACGGCCACAUUGGGACUGAGACACGGCCCAAACUCCUACGGAAGGCAGCAG
rnacentral:rRNA from 1 species